rnacentral:rRNA from 1 species
AUACGGAGGGUGCGAGCGUUAAUCGGAAUUACUGGGCGUAAAGCGCGCGUAGGCGGUAAGAUAAGUCGGGUGUGAAAGCCCCGGGCUCAACCUGGGAACUGCAUUCGAUACUGUCUGACUAGAGUGUAAUAGAGGGAGGCGGAAUUCCACAUGUAGCGGUGAAAUGCGUAGAUAUGUGGAGGAACACCAAUGGCGAAGGCAGCCUCCUGGAUUAACACUGACGCUGAGGUGCGAAAGCGUGGGGAGCAAACAGGAUUAGAAACCCUAGUAGUCC